rnacentral:rRNA from 1 species
GGCUUAACACAUGCAAGUCGAACGGUAGCAGGUAAGUACUUGUACUUAUGCUGACGAGUGGCGGACGGGUGAGUAAUGCUUGGGGAUCUGGCUUAUGGAGGGGGAUAACGACGGGAAACUGUCGCUAAUACCGCGUAGAAUCGAGAGAUGAAAGUGUGGGACCUUCGGGCCACAUGCCAUAGGGUGAACCCAAGUGGGAUUAGGUAGUUGGUAGGGUAAUGGCCUACCAAGCCGACGAUCCCUAGCUGGUCUGAGAGGAUGACCAGCCACACCGGGACUGAGACACGGCCCGGACUCCUACGGGAGGCAGCAGUGGGGAAUAUUGCGCAAUGGGGGCAACCCUGACGCAGCCAUGCCGCGUGAAUGAAGAAGGCCUUCGGGUUGUAAAGUUCUUUCGGUGACGAGGAAGGCGUGAUGUUUAAUAGGCAUCACGAUUGAC